UCAUAAAAAUGAUAUAGGCAUUUAUUAGUGUAAAUAAUACUCGCAUCUGUGCGAUACAUCAUGAAGCAUUUUGCGUCUAUCAUUGAAACAUUCAUCUUAUUAAGCACACUAAUUCGUCUUUGUUCAUGUUCAACAGAAACACCAAAAUGUGAAAAAAUUAUGCCUUUACAGGCGCUUCAAAAGCUGUUGUGCAAAUUACAAGUGAAAUAACGAAACCCAACAAUGCGAAAAAUGUUUACUAGGAUACAGUGGAGUAAAUUGUAGUCAAUCUUGUCCUUUUCCUUUUUUUGGAGAAGGAUGUCAAGGUAGAUGUGACUGUGAUAACAACACAUGUGAUGUUUCCACCGGUUGUAAAAAUGUUACCACUGAUGGACAAACUUUUCCAUUGGUAAGCAACACAACAGAAAACAUUUUAAAUGAAAA